GAAAUGCGAUAAGUAGUGUGAAUUGCAGAAUUCCGUGAAUCAUCGAAUCUUUGAACGCACAUUGCGCCUUCUGGUAUUCCGGGAGGCAUGCCUGUUCGAGCGUCGUUAAAUAUACCACUCAAGCAGUUUUUGCUUGGACUUGGAGGAAGAGCUCGCCCACGGCGAGGUUCUCCUCUGAAAUCGAACGGCGGCCUGGUUCUGUUACCUCGCGUAGUAAGUAAUGCCUCGCGACGGUCAGCAGCGAUCGGCUCGCCGGUGAAUCCCCACAAUCUUUCAAGGUCGACCUCGAAUCAGGUAGGGGUACCCGCUGAACUUAA
rnacentral:misc_RNA from 1 species